UGCGCAGGCGGGCUUGUAAGUCAGUGGUGAAAUUCUGCCGCUUAACGGUAGAACUGCCAUUGAUACUGCAAGUCUUGAAUAUGGUUGAGGUAGGCGGAAUGUGUUGUGUAGCGGUGAAAUGCAUAGAUAUGACACAGAACGCCGAUUGCGAAGGCAGCUUACUAAGCCAUUAUUGACGCUGAGGCACGAAAGCGUGGGGAGCGAACAGGAUUAGAUACCCUGGUAGUC
rnacentral:rRNA from 1 species